rnacentral:rRNA from 1 species
AUUGAACGCUGGCGGCAUGCCUUACACAUGCAAGUCGAACGGCAGCACGGGAGCGAUCCUGGUGGCGAGUGGCGAACGGGUGAGUAAUAUAUCGGAACGUGCCCAGUAGUGGGGGAUAACUGCUCGAAAGAGCAGCUAAUACCGCAUACGACCUGAGGGUGAAAGGGGGGGAUCGCAAGACCUCUCGCUAUUGGAGCGGCCGAUAUCAGAUUAGCCAGUUGGUGGGGUAAAGGCCUACCAAGGCAACGAUCUGUAGUUGGUCUGAGAGGACGACCAGCCACACUGGGACUGAGACACGGCCCAGACUCCUACGGGAGGCAGCAGUGGGGAAUUUUGGACAAUGGGCGAAAGCCUGAUCCAGCCAUGCCGCGUGUCUGAAGAAGGCCUUCGGGUUGUAAAGGACUUUUGUCGGGGAGGAAAUCCCCAGCGUUAAUACCGCUGGGGGAUGACAGUACCCGAAGAAUAAGCACCGGCUAACUACGUGCCAGCCGCCGCAGUAAGAC